rnacentral:rRNA from 1 species
CACGUAGGGGGCGAGCGUUGUCCGGAUUUAUUGGGCGUAAAGAGCUCGUAGGCGGCUCGGUAAGUCAGGUGUGAAAACUCUAGGCUCAACCUAGAGACGCCACCUGAUACUGCCGUGGCUAGAGUCCGGUAGGGGAGCAUGGAAUUCCUGGUGUAGCGGUGAAAUGCGCAGAUAUCAGGAGGAACACCAGUGGCGAAGGCGGUGCUCUGGGCCGGAACUGACGCUGAGACGCGAAAGCGUGGGGAGCGAACAGG